CCUCAUCAUCACCAGAACCAGAACGGUUCCUACGCUGCUCAUCAUCAUCAUCGUCAUUUCCACGGCCAUAGCUAGGCUUCCUGUAACUCCCCUCUUCCUGCUCCUCAGACCUCCCAUAGCUAGGCUUCCUAUAACUUCCUUCCUCCUGUUCCUCAGAUCUUCCAUAGCUAGGCUUAAUGUAACUCUCCACCUGAUCCUCAGACCUCCCAUAACUAGGUUUCCUGUAACUUCCUUCCUCUUCCUCAGAUCUUCCAUAGCUAGGCUUCCUAUAACCUUCCUCUUCUUCCUCAGAUCUUCCAUAACUUGGCUUCCUAUAACCUUCCUCUU
rnacentral:lncRNA from 1 species